ACGGGAUGGAGAGCAGCUGGCUACAAUCUUCGCAAUCCUAAACCUCACUAUUUGUAUAGGCAAGAGUAGGGCGGUGUUGUUCCCGACCCCAAGCCCACGGCUCUUUGGCUUCACCCUACCCCUAUAUCCAUGAGACUGGUACAGCUUGAAUAACUUCCCGGGACUGUUGCAAAAGACAGGAUGAGCUCCAUCAAAGUUAAAAGCUGUGUGUCUAUGAACAGAGAAAGCACAGGUUAGUAGAGAAACCCAGCCAGACUCAGUAAGCAGUGAAAUAGACAGGCCCUGGCCCCACCUUCCUUUAGCUCCGCCUCUUAUCUCCCAUUGGGCAAUGAGCCUACCCGGAAGCUUUGUGAUUGGCCAGCCGGGGUGCCGGCUGCGUCCAAUGGGCGGUGGCGCCGGCUUUCCCGCGGCCAUUCGCUAUUCGAGUGGGUGCUGGCUACAGGCGGCUGUUAAGAAGCGUAACGGACACUGGUCUCCGACAGCAUGAUGGCUGCCUUAGCGGCCGGAGGUUAUACGCGGAGUGACACGAUAGAAAAGCUGUCCUCUGUCAUGGCGGGAGUUCCGGCGCGGAGAAACCAGUCCUCCCCGCCUCCUGCCCCACCGCUCUGCCUCCGGCGGCGGACGCGACUCGCGGCGGCUCCCGAGGACACUGUGCAGAACCGGGUGACACUUGAGAAGGUGCUUGGCAUCACAGCCCAGAACAGCAGCGGGCUAACCUGUGACCCUGGCACAGGCCAUGUGGCCUACUUAGCAGGGUGCGUGGUGGUGGUCUUGAACCCCAAGGAGAACAAGCAGCAGCAUAUAUUUAACACAACCAGGAAGUCCCUGAGUGCUCUGGCCUUCUCCCCAGAUGGGAAGUACAUAGUGACAGGAGAGAAUGGACACCGGCCAGCUGUGCGCAUCUGGGAUGUGGAGGAGAAGACUCAAGUGGCAGAGAUGCUGGGCCACAAGUAUGGUGUGGCCUGUGUGGCUUUCUCACCCAAUAUGAAGCACAUCGUGUCCAUGGGCUACCAACAUGACAUGGUCCUCAAUGUUUGGGAUUGGAAGAAAGACAUUGUGGUGGCUUCCAACAAGGUGUCAUGUAGAGUCAUCGCUCUCUCCUUCUCUGAGGACAGCAGCUAUUUUGUCACCGUUGGGAAUCGGCAUGUGAGGUUUUGGUUCUUAGAAGCCUCUACUGAGGCCAAGGUAACCAGCACAGUGCCCCUGGUAGGACGCUCAGGCAUCCUGGGUGAGCUGCACAACAAUAUCUUUUGUGGCGUGGCCUGCGGCCGGGGCCGGAUGGCAGGCAAUACCUUCUGUGUGUCCUACUCUGGCCUCCUCUGCCAGUUCAAUGAGAAAAGGGUGCUGGACAAGUGGAUCAACCUGAAGGUCUCCUUGUCUUCCUGCCUGUGUGUCAGUGACGAGUUGAUCUUCUGUGGAUGCACAGACGGGAUAGUCCGCAUCUUCCAGGCCCACAGCCUACUCUACCUCACCAACCUGCCCAAACCACACUACCUGGGAGUGGACGUGGCCCACGGACUGGACUCCAGCUUCCUCUUCCACAGAAAAGCAGAAGCAGUCUACCCAGAUACAGUGGCCCUGACCUUUGACCCCGUCCACCAGUGGCUGUCCUGUGUUUACAAAGACCACAGCAUCUACAUCUGGGAUGUCAAGGACAUUGAUGAAGUCAGCAAGAUAUGGUCAGAGCUCUUCCACAGCUCCUUUGUCUGGAAUGUAGAGGUGUACCCUGAAUUUGAAGACCAGAGAGCUUGCCUGCCGUCCGGGACUUUUCUGACUUGUUCCUCAGACAAUACCAUCCGCUUCUGGAAUUUGGAUAGCGCCUCUGACACUCGAUGGCAAAAGAACAUCUUCAGCGAUUCUCUGCUGAAGGUGGUCUAUGUAGAGAAUGACAUCCAGCACCUGCAGGACCUGUCUCACUUCCCAGACCGGGGCAGUGAGAACGGCACUCCCAUGGAUAUGAAAGCUGGGGUUCGAGUCAUGCAGGUCAGUCCUGACGGCCAGCACUUGGCUUCAGGCGACCGCAGUGGAAAUCUGAGGAUCCACGAGCUGCACUUCAUGGAUGAGCUGAUCAAGGUGGAGGCCCACGAUGCUGAGGUGCUGUGCCUGGAGUACUCCAAGCCUGAGACAGGAGUGACUUUGCUGGCUUCAGCCAGUCGGGACAGACUCAUCCAUGUGUUAAACGUGGAGAAGAACUACAACCUGGAGCAGACCCUGGACGACCACUCCUCCUCCAUCACAGCCAUUAAGUUUGCUGGCACCAGAGAUGUCCAGAUGAUCAGUUGUGGAGCUGACAAGAGCAUCUACUUUCGCAGUGCCCAGCAGGCCUCGGAUGGACUGCACUUUGUCCGUACCCACCACGUAGCAGAGAAGACCACCUUGUAUGACAUGGAUAUCGACAUCACACAGAAGUAUGUGGCAGUGGCCUGCCAGGACCGCAACGUAAGGGUCUACAACACCGUGAGUGGGAAACAGAAGAAGUGCUACAAGGGUUCCCAGGGCGACGAAGGGUCCCUGCUGAAGGUCCACGUGGACCCCUCAGGCACCUUCCUGGCCACAAGCUGCUCUGACAAAAGCAUCUCCUUGAUUGACUUUUACUCGGGCGAGUGUGUUGCCAAGAUGUUUGGCCAUUCGGAAAUUGUCACUGGCAUGAAGUUCACCUACGACUGCCGCCACUUGAUCACAGUAUCUGGAGACAGCUGUGUGUUCAUCUGGCACCUGGGCCCGGAGAUCACCACCUGCAUGAAGCAGCACUUGCUGGAGAUCAACCACCAGGAGCAGCAGCAGCAGCCCAAGGACCAGAAGUGGAGUGGCCCUCCCAGCCAGGAGACAUAUGCAUCCACACCAAGUGAGAUUCGUUCCCUGAGCCCUGGAGAGCAGACAGAGGAUGAGAUGGAGGAGGAAUGUGAGCCAGAAGAGUUGCUGAAAACACCAUCCAAAGACAGCUUGGACCCAGAUCCUCGAUGCCUGCUGACAAAUGGCAAGCUGCCACUCUGGGCAAAGCGGCUGCUAGGGGAUGAUGAUGUGGCAGACAGCUCAGCUUUCCACGCCAAGCGCAGCUACCAGCCACAUGGCCGUUGGGCAGAGCGGGCUGAGCAGGAACCCCUCAAGACCAUCCUGGAUGCCUGGAGCCUGGAUUCCUACUUUACACCCAUGAAGCCUGAAAAUCUCCAAGACUCUGUUCUGGACUCAGUAGAGCCACAGAACCUGGCAGGCCUGCUAAGUGAGUGUUCACUCGGUAAUGGACACACGUCUCCGGGAGAAGGCUUGGUGAGCUACCUACUUCACCCAGAGUUAGGGAGUCCCAAAGAGGACAACCGAGGCCACCCCUCCUACCUGCCUCUACAGAGGGAAGCCACCGAGGCAAGCGAACUCAUCCUCUGCUCCCCAGAGGCGGAAGUGUCACUUACAGGGAUGCACAGGGAGUAUUAUGAGGAGGAGACAGAGGCAGGACCUGAAGACCAGCAAGGCGACACCUAUCUCAGGGUCUCUUCCGUCAGUUCAAAGGAUCAGAGCCCCCCUGAGGACUCAGGGGAGUCAGAGGCUGAACUGGAGUGCAGCUUUGCCGCCGCCCACAGCUCAGCUCCUCAAACGGACCCUGGCCCUCACCUCACCAUGACAGCAGGUAAGCCAGAGUACCCAAGUACAGAAGAGCUUUCCCAGCCUGAGCUGCCAGGCUUGGGCAAUGGCUCCUUACCCCAGACACCUGAGCAGGAGAAGUUCCUCCGCCACCAUUUUGAGACACUUACUGAUGCCCCUACUGAAGGGCCCAUGGGUAUCUUCCUAGAGCUCUUUCAUGGAUCCCUGGGAGACAUAAAGAUCUCAGAGACUGAGGACUAUUUCUUCAAUCCCCGGCUGAGCAUAUCCACCCAGUUCCUCUCCCGCCUCCAGAAGACCUCCAGGUGCCCUCCCCGACUGCCCCUGCACCUUAUGAAGUCUCCAGAGGCUCAGCCUGUGGGCCAAGGGGGCAACCAGCCCAAAGCAGGGCCCCUGAGAGCAGGUACUGGCUACAUGUCCUCAGAUGGGACCAACGUCCUCUCUGGGCAGAAGGCUGAAGAAACUCAAGAGGCCUUGAGUCUACUGGUCCCUCCCCUCUCAGGCCUGACAUCCUGUGUCCCUCCUUCCUCGGUGCCACCCACAGACAGGAAGCCUCCAACACCCACAUCUGUACUGACCACAGGCCGGGAGCAAAGUAUCUCCGCCCCAUCUUCGUGUUCUUACCUGGAGUCCACAACGAGCUCACAUGCCAAGACGACACGCAGCAUCUCUCUUGGGGACAGUGAGGGCCCUGUGACAGCUGAGCUACCCCAGUCACUUCACAAGCCCUUAUCCCCUGGCCAGGAACUCCAAGCCAUCCCCACUACAGUGGCACUGACCUCCAGCAUCAAAGACCACGAGCCUGCACCGCUUUCCUGGGGCAACCAUGAGGCCCGAGCCAGCCUGAAACUGACCUUAUCCAGUGUCUGUGAGCAGCUGCUCUCUCCACCUCCACAGGAGCCACCCAUCACCCAUGUGUGGUCUCAGGAACCUGUGGAUGUCCCACCUAGUAUGGCAGUCACAGUAGCCAGCUUCUGUGCACCCAGCCCUGUAGACAUGAGCACCCUGGGACUCCACAGUUCUAUGUUUCUCCCAAAGACCUCAGCCUCUGGGCCCCUAACCCCUCCUGCCCACCUCCAACUUCUAGAGACCAGGUCUAGGGUGCCUGGCAGCACUGCUGCUCUCCUGGAGCCCACCCCCGGUGAGUACGACCCUUGGGGCGUGGCUAGAACCCUAGCCCAUCUCCAGGGCUGCUUGACUCACCUCCCCAAGUGGACACAGCCUGGCCACAGGGGCUGUGCCAGGUUCACUCAUGCAUCCAUCCAUUCCCUCAUUACAAUAGCCAAUGAGCAUAUGCUGGCCUUUGUUCUAGGUCCUGCGCCUGCGCGUAGGAGACAUAGUAGCAAACAAGAGAAGGUUGAUUUCCUACACUAGAUGCAUCAGGUGUGAUCGCAGACAGCCCUGGACACUGGGACACAGAAGUCCCUACCCCAGAACUCCUAGGCAGUGUGGAAUCAGUCUUGCACAGGCUGCAGACUGCCUUCCAAGAAGCUCUUGACCUUUACCGCAUGCUGGUCUCCAGCAGCCAGCUGGGUCCUGAGCAGCAGCAGGCACAGACCGAGCUGGCCUCCACCUUCCACUGGAUCCUCAACCAGCUAGAAGCCAGCAACUGUAUGGCUGCAGCUAACUUGGCCCCACCCCAGACACUGCCUAGCCCAGACCCUCUGUCCCUACCUACACUUUGUCCCCUGGCCAGCCCAAACCUGCAGGCCCUGCUGGAACACUACUCAGAGUUGCUGGUGCAAGCAGUGAGGAGGAAGGCAAGGGGUGACUGAGAACCUGAAGCCCCUCUACCAAAGCCCCGCUGCCCUGGAGAAAUAGAUUUGUAAACCAAUAAACUGACAGUUGUUUCCUGGAA